rnacentral:rRNA from 1 species
AUGAACGCUGGCGGCGUGCCUAAUACAUGCAAGUCGAGCGAACAGACGAGGAGCUUGCUCCUCUGACGUUAGCGGCGGACGGGUGAGUAACACGUGGAUAACCUACCUAUAAGACUGGGAUAACUUCGGGAAACCGGAGCUAAUACCGGAUAAUAUAUUGAACCGCAUGGUUCAAUAGUGAAAGACGGUUUUGCUGUCACUUAUAGAUGGAUCCGCGCCGCAUUAGCUAGUUGGUAAGGUAACGGCUUACCAAGGCAAUGAUGCGUAGCCGACCUGAGAGGGUGAUCGGCCACACUGGAACUGAGACACGGUCCAGACUCCUACGGGAGGCAGCAGUAGGGAAUCUUCCGCAAUGGGCGAAAGCCUGACGGAGCAACGCCGCGUGAGUGAUGAAGGUCUUCGGAUCGUAAAACUCUGUUAUUAGGGAAGAGCAAAUGUGUAAGUAACUAUGCACGUCUUGACGGUACCUAAUCAGAAAGCCACGGCUAACUACGUG